rnacentral:rRNA from 1 species
AACAGGAUUAGAUACCCUGGUAGUCCACGCCGUAAACGAUGUCGACUUGGAGGUUGUGCCCUUGAGGCGUGGCUUCCGGAGCUAACGCGUUAAGUCGACCGCCUGGGGAGUACGGCCGCAAGGUUAAAACUCAAAUGAAUUGACGGGGGCCCGCACAAGCGGUGGAGCAUGUGGUUUAAUUCGAUGCAACGCGAAGAACCUUACCUACUCUUGACAUCCAGAGAACUUAGCAGAGAUGCUUUGGUGCCUUCGGGAACUCUGAGACAGGUGCUGCAUGGCUGUCGUCAGCUCGUGUUGUGAAAUGUUGGGUUAAGUCCCGCAACGAGCGCAACCCUUAUCCUUUGUUGCCAGCGGUUCGGCCGGGAACUCAAAGGAGACUGCCAGUGAUAAACUGGAGGAAGGUGGGGAUGACGUCAAGUCCUCAUGGCCCUUAUGCGUAGGGCUACACACGUCAUACAAUGGUCGGAACAGAGGGUCGCCAACCCGCGAGGGGGAGCCAAUCCCAGAAAACCGAUCGUAGUCCGGAUCGCACUCUGCAACUCGAGUGCGUGAAGCUGGAAUCGCUAGUAAUCGCGGAUCAGCAUGCCGCGGUGAAUACGUUCCCGGGUCUUGUACACACCGCCCGUCACACCAUGGGAGUGGGUUUUACCAGAAGUGGCUAGUCUAACCGCAAGGAGGACGGUCACCACGGUAGGAUUCAUGACUGGGGUGAAGUCGUAACAAGGUAA